UAAUACGGGGGGAGCAAGCGUUGUUCGGAUUUACUGGGCGUAAAGGGCGCGUAGGCGGCGCAACAAGUCACUUGUGAAAUCUCUGGGCUUAACUCAGAGCGGCCAAGUGAUACUGUCGUGCUGGAGUGCGGAAGGGGCAACUGGAAUUCUCGGUGUAGCGGUGAAAUGCGUAGAUAUCGAGAGGAACACCUGCGGCGAAGGCGGGUUGCUGGGCCGACACUGACGCUGAGGCGCGAAAGCUAGGGGAGCGAACGGGAUUAGAUACCCCGGUAGUCCUAGCCUUAAACGAUGGAUGCUUGGUGUCUGGGGUUUGAUAGUCCCCGGGUGCCGUCGCUAACGCUUUUAGCAUCCCGCCUGGGGAGUACGCACGCAAGUGUGAAACUCAAAGGAAUUGACGG
rnacentral:rRNA from 1 species